UGACCCCUAUAAAAGGGCUAAGAUCUAGACAAACCGUGCACACAGUCUAUUCACUUCGACCGCACCGUCACUUACAACAAAACAAAAUGCUUAAAGUGGCAGUCUUCCUCGCUACCAUCGCUAUCGCAUACGCUGGUGUGAUCGCACCAAUUGUGCCAGUCGCCCACCCAGUAGUAGCUCACCCAGUGGCAGCAGUAUCCCACACCUCUGUUGUCCACCACGCCCCAAUAGUACACCAUGCCCCAAUUGUACAUCAUACUCCAAUAGUACAUCCUGCCCCAAUCGUACACGCUGCCCCCAUUGUACCAGUGGUGAAACACGUCGGUAUUGUUAAACAUGCCCCCAUAAUUGCUGUACACCAUUAAAUUACACGUUUGUAAUGUGUGCAUAAAGUAUGUUUGUUUUUAAUAAAUAAAUAUGUAUUUUUU